UCAUAUAUAUCCACUAUUCCUAGUGCAAUAUUACCCAAAGCAUCUCUUCUCUCCCUGUACACAGGACCAAAAGUGCAGGCACAUCAUUUAUUGAUAAGACAAAAAGAAUGUAAUGAAAUUAUCAAUGUUCUUGAAUUAAUUAUGAACAUGAUUAAGAAAGCUAAAAUCUCAGGAGCCAGGAUCUCAUUACCCAUUCAGUCUUAGGGAUUGCUUUCAUUCAGCUAAGCAAAAAGGCUUUGAGCAGUCCCACAAUUGCCUUUCUCUCAUUUAUUUGUGCUAGAAUUAAGGUUUAUUUGUUUUCUGUUUUCUCCUUCUUCAGAGAUUAUUUCUCUUAGUUUAUCCAUUUAACAAAUUGUUUCUUCCUGUAUCAUAGAAGAAUGCCCCUGUAGGGCCUCCAUCACUGUCUUCUGGCUACAGACCUCCUCCUUUUGAGGGCAUUUUCUCUCCACUCAUUUUGCUGGGAGCUCCUAAAUAUCUCUCAAGGUUCAAGAACUCCCCAGAAACUUGGCAUUGUCAAGGAAAUCCACUGUCUUUUGUCCUGGAGGCUGGGUCAUGUGGCUUCAUCCUCUGCUGGGGCCACAUCAUUGAAAGAUUCCACCAUUGCCACCAGGUAGAUUGAGUGGAUGAAAAGCAUAUCUAUGUGGAUGAGAGAGAAUGCAUGCAACUUAAAUUUGGUUCUACCCCCAUCUUUCUAAGGAUCCAAUUAACAAAUCCCAAGGUAUGGGAAGAGUGGAUUGGUGGAGUGGAUAGAUGAGAGAGGCUCUGUACAAUCUCAUCUCACAAUUCAGGUUUGUUGGCCUGAUUUUCUUUAUGGAUCUAGGACAAAAGGAUGUCCCUGAUUCAAAAUAACCUGAACCAAAUACUCGACCUUCCCUAGUAUGUAGGCAUAAAUCCUUGGUUCAUUUUGCCCAUUUCCUCUGGGAAACCCAGAUUAUAGCCAUUGUCUCAGAGAUGUGAGUAAAAGGAUCCAUGUAAAAAGUUGCCAUCAUGCAUUUCAGGUACACUCAUCCUCCAUGAGGUAUAUACAAAUGGAUUAAUGGAUCAGUAAGAAUCCAUUCCUAGAAAAUGUCAUUAAUAUUCCCAAUAAAGUGAUUCAUG
rnacentral:lncRNA from 1 species